UGUGAGAGCAAGAGCCCGGAGAUGGAUUCUGAGACACGAAUCCAGGCCCUACGGGGUGCAGCAGGCGCGAAAACUUUACAAUGCCGGCAACGGCGAUAAGGGGACCUCGAGUGCCAGGUUACAAAUCUGGCUGUCGUGAUGCCUAAAAAGCAUUGCAUAGCAAGGGCCGGGCAAGACCGGUGCCAGCCGCCGCGGUAACACCGGCGGCUCGAGUGGUAACCGUUAUUAUUGGGUCUAAAGGGUCUGUAGCCGGCCGGAUAAGUCUCUUGAGAAAUCCAGCAGCUCAACUGUUGGGCUUUCAGGAGAUACUGUUCGGCUCGAGGCCGGGAGAGGUGAGAGGUACUUCAGGGGUAGGGGUGAAAUCUUGUAAUCCUUGAAGGACCACCAGUGGCGAAGGCGUCUCACCAGAACGGACCUGACGGCAAGGGACGAAAGCUAGGGGCACGAACCGGAUUAGAUACCCGGGUAGUCCUAGCCGUAAACGAUACUCGCUAGGUGUCGGCCACGGUGCGACCGUUGUCGGUGCCGUAGGGAAGCCGUGAAGCGAGC
rnacentral:rRNA from 1 species